AACGAGAAUAAAGCGUGAAGGAUAACGUUGCGUCAGCAACGGCCCGUAGGGCGAGGCGAAGCCGAGUCAUCCUGCACAACCCACCA
rnacentral:sRNA from 1 species